UCCGAGUUGACCCCGGCGGUCCUCCUACGGGAGCCCGCACAGGUGCUGCAUGGCUGUCGUCAGCUCGUGCCGUGAGGUGUUGCCUUAAGUGGCGCAACGAGCGCAACCCCUUUUCCUAGUUGCCAGCGGGUCAUGCCGGGAACUCUAGGGAGACUGCCGGUGCCAAACCGGAGGAAGGUGGGGAUGACGUUUCCAGGUUAGG
rnacentral:misc_RNA from 1 species